rnacentral:lncRNA from 1 species
GCAUUAUAGCAGAAGAGUUCUGUUAAGACCAGCCUAAUUUUUGUUCCCCGGAUAGUUUUGUUUUUAUACUUUGGUUCUUCUAUACUGUAUACUUUUUAUUUAUCCUCAUAAUUAAGAAAGAAAAUUACCUCAGUCUAAAAAUGUCUCUCCAGUGACUGGAACAAAAUUCAAUCUGUCUCCCUAUUCAUUUCCUUUUUGAGAAAGUAUUUUCUUUUGUUUUUGAUAACUCUUAUCUUUUCUCAAUAUCCCAUGCUCUGUCAUCUUUCCUUUUCAUCAUGCUAGAAAACUUCUCAAGUUUAAUUUUCACAUGACUGGCUUGAUUUUUAGUGUCACUUUGCUGUUUUCUAAUAUGAAUUUUGUCAUCAUUCUUUCUUAACUUACCUACACCUUCCUUUUCCUCUAGUUUACUGUUAUAUUUUCUUCCUUGUCAUAGAAACGAUGCUUUCUUGUAUCCUUUUAAUAAUGUUAAGGUUUCCUACAUUUUAUUCAGAUUUCUAUAUUAGAUACUACCCAAUACAUUGGAGUUUGUUUGAUUUUUGAAUCCUCACACUGGAUCUGUGGGACAAUGAACAGUGUUUACCUGCAAACCUAGAGAAUGGAUUUCUCCUGGCUCUUCACUUGAAUGAUGGUCACAACCCUUUCUCAGCACUCCAUGCAGAGUGUAAUUCUUAAGACAUUGCUGUUUUUCAAUUACAUCUGGCCUGUUGGUCUUAACAAGCACCACCAGUGCUCCACUACCAAUGUUUUUGUUUUGUUUGAUACUGAGGUAUCCAGGAUGCUUUUCCAUGGAGUGCUAUGUUCCCAACCUUUUUUAUUUUGAGAAAGGGUCUGCUGAAUUGCUGAGGGUCUCACUAAGUUGCGGAGGCUGACCUCAAACUUGUGAUCCUCCUAUGUCAGCCUCCCAAGUGACUGGGAUUACAGGUUGCAUCACCAUGCCUGACUGAAAUCCACCCCCCCCUUUUUUUUAUAAUAGCAGUGGUCCAGAAUCAACAUUUUUUUAUAUCUUGCUCAGUGUGGAUAGUAUCAGUAAUGUGCAGGUUUAAACAUGUUUUUAAAAUGUUCUUAGAUAAUACGUUUAUUUUUCCUUUUGAAAUAUGCUUCACAGAUGGCUUCUAAGGGAAAAAAAAUUAAAAAAAACUUUCCCAGGUGGGGAAAAAAAAAAAAUCCUGUACAGAUGAGUAGAAUUCACAGUGUUACAAGGGGGAAAAGUUGGAAACAAUUUUUACAGCUCCCCAUAAAACUGUAAAGAAGUGCUUAGAAUAGUGUGGGUUUUUUUUUUUUUAUUGUUGUUCUUGUUUGUUUAUGUUUUUGUUUCUUCAAACCAGGCGUUUUGGACAGCAAUAGUUAAAAAAGUUGCACUUUCACUAGGUGGAACUCUAGACUUGGGUAGGGUUGGCCCUGCCAGUUUUCUAGCUGUGUAGCAAACCUCCUAACCUCAGAUAGUUAAGUUUCCAUCCUAUAACAAGGAAAUCAUACCUGCCCUUACAGAGUCAUGAGGAUCAAGUGAGGUCUUAUUAGGGAAAUGUCUAGAACUGUGAAACUAAAUGCUGAAGUGCAGAAUCGGAUGUUUCUUCCCUUCCAAAUUUUUAGCAUUAUUAGUGUUUACGCCUUGUUUCAACACCACAGGACAGCUGCUGCUCUGAGAUAAAUUAUGCUCACAUAUUAAGUGAAAACUUUCCUAACAUAUUCAGGAGACUGCCAGUUUCAAAUAACAUUAGGUAUGCCUGAUCCACUGGCAAGAAGAUUAUGUAAAGUCAUGCUUACAAGCAAAACAGCUACCCAAGUGAAAAACUGAAUAGUGUGAAUUUCAAAAGGAAAGAAGGGCUUUUAAACAUACAUGGGAUCCUAGGGCUGGGAUUUGGCUCAAUGCACUUGCCUAACAUGAACCAGGGUUUGAUUCCCAUCAUCAAAAAAUACACAGGAAGGCUGGUUUGUGGCUCAGUGGUACAGCACUUGUCUAGUAUGUGUGAGGCACUGGGUUUGAUUCUCAGCACCACAUAUAAAUAAAUGAAUAAAAUAAAGGUCCAUCAACAACAUAUGUAUAUAUAAUUUUUUAAAACCCCACAGGAUCCUGAAUUAGGAAAUUAGGACUAGAUUUUUUAAAUAGCAUCUAAUGCACUAAGUUGGAGAAUUUGAGUUUAAGCACCACGUGUAAUAGACAAGCUGGUUCUUUUGCCCCCCUCAGUUCAAAGUUGUAAGGCCAGUAGGACACAAUGUGCAACAAGGUACUUUUCAAACCAGUAAAGUGCUACGCAGCUUUACAGCUUUUCAGUAAUUGAAAAAAUUAUGCAUGGCAUCUUUUUAAUUUUACUUGUAAGAGCAAUUUUAGUUUCAUCGCAAAAUUGACAGAGUACAGAGUUCUGUAUAUCUCUUAUUCCCACACAUGCCAACCAACCACUCCCAUUAUUCUGCACUACAAUAGUAUAUGUGUUAAAAUCAAAAAACCUGG